UUGGGUCUUUAAAGAUUAUUUUGCAUGUUUUAGAGGUGUGUAGAUGUGACUGGAGCUUACAGUGCUCUAAAGACGGAGCUUAACAUAAGCUUGACAGCAAUAGGCCUUUUGUGGACGACAACUGACUUUAUUGCAAAGGGGAUUACACAUGGACCUGUGGAAGAAAGGGAAACAAGAAAGGGAAACAGGUAUAUGACAAGUGCACAACAAAUGGACUCACAACAAAGACAAGUGCACAAAGGAUGAUGAAUUGAAGGAUGGAGCAAGUUUCAUGCAUGGUUUACUUUUGUGUAUCUUGUAAUUUUUUGUUUUUCAUUUUUGAAGUAAAAAAAUGUUCAAGAUUAUAAAACUUUAUUAUGUUAUGCUUUCAAACUUAAGUUAGAACUAAGAUCUCAUGAAAUAGAAACAUUCCGAGUUUGAAUUAGUUAUUGUUUAAUGUAAUACUUAUGGUUUAUCAAUCUAUUGAGAAUUAUAUUUUAUGAUUAA